rnacentral:rRNA from 1 species
GACGUAGGGCGCGAGCGUUGUCCGGAUUUAUUGGGCGUAAAGAGCUCGUAGGCGGCUUGUCGCGUCGACUGUGAAAACCCGCGGCUCAACCGCGGGCCUGCACUCGAUACGGGCAGGCUAGAGUUCGGUAGGGGAGACUGGAAUUCCUGGUGUAGCGGUGAAAUGCGCAGAUAUCAGGAGGAACACCGAUGGCGAAGGCAGGUCUCUGGGCCGAUACUGACGCUCAUGCACGAAAGCGUGGGGAGCAAACAGG